UGUGUAGGUCAAGGUGUGCAGACGUAGGUCUGAUUAUAAGUUUUAACUGGGUUAGAAGUGAAACACACUUAAAAAUACUUUUUAUUCAAUAUUGGUAUUUUGUUUCGUUGUAGGUUAUCCUGAAUAGUUUUUUUUUCUUCGGAGAUCGAGUAAUAUUUGUAUGUAUGUGUUCAAAAUCAGGAGAAGCUGCCUGUUGUAACAGAUGUUAACAAUGUCAACAUUUACCAAGUCCUUGAGUCAAUACGUAUAGUCGUCUGCUGAACUGAAGUCUUCGAUCGCUGACACGUUUGUAUUGACAAGUUGCUGUAUAGUUGCUGUUUUUCAAGGAGAAAUAUACUCAUGUUCGAUAACUCUGUUCAUGGUGCUAGGUUGUCGUUCCUGUGAUUGAACACUUUUUGGAAAGCACGUGUGUGGACUUAGUUCACAACUCACUGAAAAUCUGAAGAAUGACGUUUUAUCAGAACCUGGCUCAAGUUAAAACUGUGACAUUGUAUGCCUCGCUUCUAGUAGCUUCAGGAAUAGUUGUCAUAGUAACAUUUAAACUUCUCAAUUUGGCGAUAUCCGGCAACCAUCGACACGAGAGGGACGUUGAUCAGCUGACAAAAGUUAUAAAUAAUUUUACAUUAGUGUUUGGGUGAAAAAAAAUCUUAGCACGUAUUUAGAAUCCCGCCAACAACGUGAACGUGCCAGUUUUUCCUGCAUUGUUGAUCUAAACAAUUUCUUCAAUUGGCCAAAUCAAAGGGAGAAUACUACUGACCACUUUAUUUCAACUAUAUUACAACAGUUAUGUUUCUUUAUAUUCACAUCAUUGAAAUGGAACGCGUUAAAUAAUAAACAUUUUACAUUUUAUCAUUAAAUUUCAAUUUAUUACAUUAACAAUUAGGUUAGUACGUACAUACUUUGUUUAAAGAUUGACUUAUUACAUAAAUUAUUAACAAGACUAAAAUAAAUGAAUGUAAAAAAACUCUACUUUUACCCACACGAUAGUGAAUAGUCAUUCAGUCAAUCAUCAUCAAAAGCAUAC